AUGCUGAUGGAAUGAGAUGCAAAACUGAUCACUUGGGCCAAUUUCUAUGUGGAUUUUCCAGCCCCCCACCUCUCCACUGAUGACAGGUGCAUAAUAAUUUUGCUCCGGCAGAACAAUUGAGCUGACAGUAGUUUAAGAAACUUGGACAGGACAAAAGGACAAACAGUUUUCCAAAUGAGACACCCAGCCAACAUUACUGCAGACUUUUUAUUAGGAAGUGCAAAGCCCUGGUUUUCAUCAUCCUCUGGAGCAUCGGGGUGAUGGCCCCCAAACGCUCCUUGAGCGGCCUUUCUCUUUUGAUAAAUGUUCUUUCUGGAGGUGGAUCGCGCACACACGCCACCCUAUCGGCGCUGGCCAGGAUCCACGGUGUGUGUGAUUGUUUGCACCCUGGCAUCUCUGCAAGGUAAUUUGCCUUGUUUUUCUGCUUUGAAUUUUGCUAGAAUUUCAGGCCGUCUAAGGCCUAUCUUCUUGUGUCAUUGUAGCCACCCUAUUCUUCUCCUCCUCGCUGCCCUUAUAAAGACAAAAGCUUUCUGCUUGGUGGCUGUCAGACCUGCUCCGACUCAGGCCUGUUGAUGUGUGGAACAGCACUGGCCUGAUGUCUAAACUCACUUACAAUUAAUGUGAAGCCAAGCUAAUUCGAAAGCCGGGAGUGCUGGGAAGACGGACACUUUGACGCUUCCAACUGGAGCUGGAUUUGUUUUUCAUCCCCAUCAUAGGUUCUGUUGAUUUAUGUCCUUUCAAAUCCUGCUCAGAUCAUGGAAAUAAAUCUAGAUAAAUGUGGAUAAGAAAGGGAGUAAUGAAUUUGACUUUUACAAAACAAACAAAAAGAUCUCUGAAAUUAAAAAUGUAAUGCAUGUCAGACCGAAUCAGCCCACAUGCGUAUGUGAUCUCCAGCUGGUGAAGCUUUUAAUAAGCUUACAUAUCCGGCACCGAACACCUGUUUCUAAUUCAUCCUUUCAUGUUCUGGGAACAGAUUACCAACUUUAUGAGAAUGGAGGAGUGCUGCAUGUGUAUGUAGUGUUAAAGUGGCCUUUUGGAUGUCCCGGAUAAAAGGGGCAGCCCCCAUCACAUCCCUCACCAGGCCUGCGUGAGUCCACUGUUCUGCACUGACUCCUGAUUGGAGAUGUGGGGCACAUAUUGGCUCUGAGUUCACCCAGCUGUUUUUUGUCACUCCUCUUCACCAGAUCUGUGCUUAGAUGGGUGCGUCUCCUGUUGGGUGACGGCUUACUGGAGCUGGAAUGAAGAACGGGAUCUUACAGCUCCAACUGGAGCUUAGACAACUUUAGUGCCAGUUGUGACAUAACUGCAUGAAAAACUUUGUCAGCUAUUUUUCUUGUACUUCUUAUGUACUGAUUGGACUGGAUCAUCUUGGCAUGCAAUCUCUCACCAUCUUCAUUGAGCAUGGUGUGAUAAAGUGUCAAGUGAUAAAUCAUGUCUCUUCCAUCGUAAUCUGAUUAUUUGUCCUAACCAGCCCUGAUUGUUGACAUUGUUGUGUAUCAAAACAUUUUGAAGGAUGCUUGGUUUGUGUUUUUGAUGUGUCAUGAUGGGUACCUCUGUCCAGAGUGAAAU